rnacentral:rRNA from 1 species
AGAGUUUGAUCAUGGCUCAGAGUGAACGCUGGCGGCGUGCCUAAUACAUGCAAGUCGAACGCGAAAGUCCUUCGGGAUGAGUAAAGUGGCGCACGGGUGAGUAAUGCAUAAGAACAUGCCCUUGGAUGGGGAAUAACGUUUGGAAACGAACGCUAAUACCGCAUAAUCUCGAAAGAGUAAAGGUGGCGCCGCAAGGGCUACCGUCCAAGGAUUGGCUUAUGUCCCAUUAGCUAGUUGGCGGGGUAAUGGCCCACCAAGGCGACGAUGGGUAUGUGGUCUGAGAGGAUGAUCACACACACUGGAACUGAGACACGGUCCAGACUCCUACGGGAGGCAGCAGUAGGGAAUAUUGCACAAUGGGGGAAACCCUGAUGCAGCAACGCCGCGUGAGUGAAGAAGGCCCUUGGGUUGUAAAGCUCUUUAGCGAGGGAAGAGGGUUGAUACGGUGAAUAAUCGUGUCAGCUGACGGUACCUCGAAAAUAAGCACCGGCUAAUUUCGUGCCAGCAGCCGCGGUAAUACGAAAGGUGCAAGCGUUACUCGGAAUCACUGGGCGUAAAGCGCACGUAGGCGGACUCGUAGGUCAAUUGUGAAAUACCUGGGCUCAACCCAGGAACUGCAGUUGAAACCACUUGUCUUGAAUACCUGAGAGGGUGGGGGAAUACCUGGUGGAGAAGUGAAAUUCGUAGAGAUCAGGUGGAACACCGGAGGCGAAGGCGCCUGCCUGGCAGUGUAUUGACGCUGAGGUGCGAAAGUGCGGGGAGCAAACAGGAUUAGAUACCCUAGUAGUCC